rnacentral:rRNA from 1 species
GACGAACGCUGGCGGCGUGCUUAACACAUGCAAGUCGAACGGAAAGGCCCUGCUUUUGUGGGGUGCUCGAGUGGCGAACGGGUGAGUAACACGUGAGUAACCUGCCCUUGACUUUGGGAUAACUUCAGGAAACUGCGGCUAAUACCGGAUAGGAGCUCCUGCUGCAUGGUGGGGGUUAGAAAGUUUCGGCGGUUGGGGAUGGACUCGCGGCUUAUCAGCUUGUUGGUGGGGUAGUGGCUUACCAAGGCUUUGACGGGUAGCCGGCCUGAGAGGGUGACCGGCCACAUUGGGACUGAGAUACGGCCCAGACUCCUACGGGAGGCAACAGUGGGGAAUAUUGCACAAUGGGCGGAAGCCUGAUGCAGCAGCGCCGCGUGCGGGAUGACGGCCUUCGGGUUGUAAACCGCUUUCGCCUGUGACGAAGCGUGAGUGACGGUAAUGGGUAAAGAAGCACCGGCUAACUACGUG